UACGGGGGGAGCAAGCGUUGUUCGGAUUUACUGGGCGUAAAGGGCGCGUAGGCGGUCGUGACAAGUCACUUGUGAAAUCUCCGGGCUUAACUCGGAACGGUCAAGUGAUACUGUCGGACUAGAGUACAGAAGGGGCAACUGGAAUUCUCGGUGUAGCGGUGAAAUGCGCAGAUAUCAGGAGGAACACCGAUGGCGAAGGCAGGUCUCUGGGCAGUAACUGACGCUGAGGAGCGAAAGCGUGGGGAGCGAACAGG
rnacentral:rRNA from 1 species